rnacentral:rRNA from 1 species
AACGAACGCUGGCGGCAGGCCUAACACAUGCAAGUCGAGCGCGCCCUUCGGGGUGAGCGGCGGACGGGUGAGUAACGCGUGGGAACGUGCCCUUUUCUACGGAAUAGCCUCGGGAAACGGAGAGUAAUACCGUAUACGCCCUUUGGGGGAAAGAUUUAUCGGAAAAGGAUCGGCCCGCGUUGGAUUAGGUAGUUGGUGGGGUAAUGGCCUACCAAGCCGACGAUCCAUAGCUGGUUUGAGAGGAUGAUCAGCCACACUGGGACUGAGACACGGCCCAGACUCCUACGGGAAGCAGCAGUGGGGAAUCUUAGACAAUGGCGGCAACCCUGAUCUAGCCAUGCCGCGUGAGUGAUGAAGGCCUUAGGGUUGUAAAGCUCUUUCAGCUGGGAAGAUAAUGACGGUACCAGCAGAAGAAGCCCCGGCUAACUCCGUG